GCACUGCUCAGUAACACGUGGACAACCUGCCCUGAGGACUGGAAUAAUCCCGGGAAACUGGGGGUAAUUCCAGAUAUGUCAGAACUCCUGGAAUGGGUUCUGGCAGAAAGGCUCCGGCGCCUCAGGAUGGGUCUGCGGCCUAUCAGGGUAGUAGUGGGCGUAACGUACCUACUAGCCUACGACGGGUACGGGUUGUGAGAGCAAGAGCCCGGAGAUGGAUUCUGAGACAUGAAUCCAGGCCCUACGGGGUGCAGCAGGCGCGAAAACCUUACAAUGCGGGCAACCGCGAUAAGGGGACCUCGAGUGCUGGGUUACAAACCUGGCUGUUGGGCUGCCUAAAAAGCAGUCUAUAGCAAGGGCCGGGCAAGACCGGUGCCAGCCGCCGCGGUAACACCGGCGGCUCGAGUGGUAACCGCUAUUAUUGGGUCUAAAGGGUCUGUAGCCGGCCGACUAAGUCUCUUGGGAAAUCUGGCAUCUCAAGUGUCAGGCUGCCAGGGGAUACUGGUCGGCUUGGGACCGGGAGAGGUGAGAGGUACCUCGGGGGUAGGGGUGAAAUCUUGUAAUCCUCGAGGGACCACCAGUGGCGAAGGCGUCUCACCA
rnacentral:rRNA from 1 species